CUGGUUGAUCCUGCCAGUAGUCAUAUGCUUGUCUCAAAGAUUAAGCCAUGCAUGUCUAAGUCCAAGCUGUGUUCACACGGCGAGACCGCGGACGGCUCAUUAAAUCAGUCGUGGUCCAAAUGGGCCAGUGCAAAUCCUACUUGGAUAACUGUGGUAAUUCCAGAGCUAAUACAUGCAACUGAUGUCCCGAAGGCUGGUGCUUGCUUGCCUUGCGCUCUGCCCGACGGAUGCUUUUAUUAGACCAAACCGCUGAGGACUUGGGGGUUCGCGCCCACUUGUUCGACUCGUGUAAUGGUGACUCUGGAUAACCAAUUGACAAGCGCACGUACUCCUCUUCUGAGCGGGACGGCGCUGCCACUUUCGAGUGUCUGCCUUAUCAGCUAUCAACCGUUCGUUAUGCGCGACCGAUGGCUUUGACGGGUAACGGGGAAUCAGGGUUCGAUUCCGGAGAGGCAGCCUGAGAGACGGCUACCACGUCCAAGGACGGCAGCAGGCACGCAAAUUACCCAAUCCCAGCAAAUGGGGGAGGUAGUGACGAAAUCUAACGAUGCGGGCGCCCUUUCUGGGGCCCCGCAAUCGGAAUGGGCACUUUCUAAACAACCUGUUGAGAACCUACUGAAGGGCAAGUCUGGUGCCAGCAG
rnacentral:rRNA from 1 species